rnacentral:piRNA from 1 species
UGACCAUUGAGGGCCAAGACGCUAACU